rnacentral:rRNA from 1 species
CCCUUAGAUGUCCUGGGCCGCACGCGCGCUACACUGACGGAGCCAGCGAGCGUGUCCUUCGCCGAAAGGUGCGGGUAAUCUUGGCAGCCUCCGUCGUGCUGGGGAUAGAUGGUUGCAAUUAUUGAUCAUGAACGAGGAAUUCCCAGUAAGUGCAAGUCAUAAGCUUGCGCUGACUACGUCCCUGCCCUUUGUACACACCGCCCGUCGCUACUACCGAUUGAAUGAUUUAGUGAGGACUUCGGACUGGGACCGAUGCGGCUUUCGGGCUGCGUCGGUAUUCUGGAAAGAUGUCCAAACUGUAUCAUUUAGAGGAAGUAAAAGUCGUAACA